GACGAACGCUGGCGGCGUGCCUAAUACAUGCAAGUCGAACGAGAGCGCCCGGUGCUUGCACUGGGCAAUCUAGUGGCGCACGGGUGAGUAACGCGUGGAUAACCUGCCCAUCAGAGGGGGAUAACAACGGAAAACGGGUGAUAAAACGGCAUAGGCCUUCGAUCCGCGGGGCGGGUAGGGGAAAAGCGGCGGAAGGGUAUGCAGAUGCGGGGAACCGGGGUGCAGUAGCUGGUGGGUGGGGUAACGGCUCACCAGGGCCGUGAUGCAUAGCCGACCGGAGGGGGUGAUCGGCGACAUUGGGAGUGAGACAGGGACAUAACGACUACGGGAGGCAGCAGUAGGGAAUCGUCGGCAAUGGAGGGAAGUCUGACGGAGCGACGGCGCGUGAGUGAAGAAGGUGUUCGGAGCGUAAAACUCUGUUGUGAGAGAAGAACAAGUGCUAGAGUAAAUGUUAGCGCCGUGACGGUAUCUAAUAAGAAAGCCACGGCUAACUACGUG
rnacentral:rRNA from 1 species